rnacentral:ncRNA from 1 species
UAAAGUUUUAUUCUUGCUUUUUCGUUCAGUUUUAUGUUUGUUCUAUAUGUAAGUUUGUGCGUAGGUAUUAUUUUGCUCUAGAUGGGUUGUAAGGGUUUAUAUUGUCUGUCUCAUUAGUUAUUAUUGAUUUAUCAAGUGUUCUUGUAUUCAGCAAUACAUAUUUGGUUUCGGUUAAAUUUUGUGCCAGCAGCCGCGGUUAUACCUUGGAAGCGUUUGAAUGUGUUUGGCAUUAGGUAGUUAUAUUAUUUAUAUUUAAUUGAUUUUGUUUUGAUAAUUGUUAGGUGAAAUUUUUAUUAUUUUGUGUUUAUUUUUUAUUUAUUUGGAAGCUAUGAAAUUCUUUCUGUAGACUAGGAUUAGAUACCCUAUUAUUUUUGAAUGUUAAUUGUUUUGGUGCUUGAGUAGUAUUAGUUAUGUUCUUGAAACUUAAAGAAUUUGGCGGUAUCUCAUUCCGUCCAGAGGAAUCUGUCUCGUUAUCGAUAGUCCGCGUUGGACCUUUCUUAGUUGCUUUGGUUUGUAUACCGCCGUUUGGUUGAUUAUCUUUUUAGAGUUUAUUAAUUUUCUGGUUUCUUUAUUUUGAUUUAUUUCAGGUCAAGGUGCAGCUUGUUUCUAAGUGAAUGAUGGAUUACAUUGUUAUUUGUUUUUGGAUUGUUGAUUUUAAUAUUGAUAUGAAAUUGGAUUUGGUUGUAAUGAUUUGUAGAUUGUCAUUGUGAUAAGUGGUUCUGAGAUAUGUACACAUCGCCCGUCGCUCUCGUUUUGUUGUUAAUGAGAUAAGUCGUAACAAAGUGGUUGUACCGGAAGGUGCGGCUGGAUUGAU